GAUGAACGCUGGCGGCGUGCCUAAUACAUGCAAGUCGAGCGAACAGACGAGGAGUUUGUUCCUCUGACGUUAGCGGCGGACGGGUGAGUAACACGUGGAUAAUCUACCUAUAAGACUGGGAUAACUUCGGGACACCGGAGCUAAUACCGGAUAAUAUAUUGAACCGCAUGGUUCAAUAGUGAAAGACGGUCUUGCUGCUACUUAUAGAUGGUUCCGCGCCGCAUUAGCUAGUUGGUAAGGUAACGGCUUACUAAGGCAACGAUGCGUAGCCGACCUGAGAGGGUGAUCGGCCACACUGGAACUGAGACACGGUCCAGACUCCUACGGGAGGCAGCAGUAGGGAAGCUUCCGCAAUGGGCGAAAGCCUGACGGAGCAACGCCGCGGGAGUGAUGAAGGUCUUCGGAUCGUAAAACUCUGUUAUUAGGGAAGAACAAAUGUGUAAGUGACUAUGCACGUCGUGACGGUACCUAAUCAGAAAGCCACGGCUAACUACGUG
rnacentral:rRNA from 1 species